AGCGAACGCUGGCGGCAGGCUUAACACAUGCAAGUCGAGCGGGCACUUUCGGGUGUCAGCGGCGGACGGGUGAGUAACGCGUGGGAACGUGCCCUCUGGUUCGGAAUAACUCAGGGAAACUUGAGCUAAUACCGGAUACGCCCUUUUGGGGAAAGGCUUGCUGCCGGAGGAUCGGCCCGCGUCUGAUUAGCUAGUUGGUGAGGUAACGGCUCACCAAGGCGACUAUCAGUAGCUGGUCUGAGAGGAUGAUCAGCCACACUGGGACUGAGACACGGCCCAGACUCCUACGGGAGGCAGCAGUGGGGAAUAUUGGACAAUGGGCGCAAGCCUGAUCCAGCCAUGCCGCGUGAGUGAUGAAGGCCUUAGGGUUGUAAAGCUCUUUUAUCCGGGACGAUAAUGACGGUACCGGAGGAAUAAGCCCCGGCUAACUUCGUG
rnacentral:rRNA from 1 species